rnacentral:rRNA from 1 species
UACGUAGGGUGCGAGCGUUAGUCGGAAUUACUGGGCGUAAAGGGUGCGCAGGCGGUCUCGUAAGCUGGGUGUGAAAGCCCCGGGCUUAACCUGGGAAUGGCAUUCAGGACUGCGAGGCUUUGAGUGUGGCAGAGGGAGGUGGAAUUCCACGUGUAGCAGUGAAAUGCGUAGAGAUGUGGAGGAACACCGAUGGCGAAGGCAGCCUCCUGGGCCAGCACUGACGCUCAUGCACGAAAGCGUGGGGAGCAAACAGG